AUUGAACGCUGGCGGCAGGCCUAACACAUGCAAGUCGAACGAGUGGCGGACGGGUGAGUAAUGUCUGUGAAACUGCCUGAUGGAGGGGGAUAACUACUGGAAACGGUAGCUAAUACCGCAUACCAUCGGAUGUGCCCAGAUGGGCUUAGCUAGUAGGUGUGGUAAAGGGUCACCUAGGCGACGAUCCCUAGCUGGUCUGAGCGGGUGACCGGCCACACUGGAACUGGACACCGGUCCACACUCCUACGGGAGGCAGCAGUGGGGAAUAUUGCACAAUGGGCGCAAGCCUGAUGCAGCCAUGCCGCGUGUAUGAAGAAGGCCUUCGAGUUGUAAAGUACUUUCAGCGGGGAGGCGUUACCCGCAGAAGAAGCACCGGCUAACUCCGUGCCAGCAGCCGCGGUAAUAC
rnacentral:rRNA from 1 species